UCAUGUGACAGUACCAUCAUCAUUAUUAUUUUUAUUCUUUGAAACAUCUCUCUCACAAUAAGAACACAAAUAAGCCAUAUUCAUAUUAAAAAGAAAAGAAAUAGAAGUUUAGUAAAGCCACACAUUAAGAACACAGGCGGAGAGACAACGAGAAUGGCAGACGGAGCACCUCCGGCGCGGUGGCCGGAGGUCAAAAAAUUCAGAACUCGAAUUUUUUUACAUCAUCUCACUCGGUUUCAUCUCCUUGUUUCAAAUCCGAGGAAUUAGCAAUCAAAGGAUGGAAUCGUUAUCAGAGAGUAACUCUCAACCUUUUGAGGCAAAGAAGUCAAAGAACGGUGGCGAUUUGGAACUCCGGUGCGGUGGUUGCGAUUUCCGGCGAGGGAGUUCAGGUGAUUUUAUGAUUUGUUCUGAUUUUGUCAGUCUGAAAAGUUCUGAAAAAAAAAGGUCCUCUUUGUGUCAGUGCAUUGAAUCCUUAUAUAGAGUCAGAGUUCAGGAUUUGUGUUGAGCGAAUUUGGGCUAGUGAUGAAUUUUGAUUCAGAAGCUAUGGAAACAAAAAUCGGAUCUUGCUCUGCAGCCCAAAUCCGAACAUCACUGAAUUAUUCCCAUCUUUUUUCUUUUUUGUUAGAGUCCAAUUUCCAUAUUCUAUUUGCAAUGUCUCUGCCGUUAAUCCGGAAAGGGCCUUGGGCCUGAUUUGUAUGCAAUUUGAAUAGGCCUUGAACUUGUUCAUUUGUUGUUUAUCACGGUUUUUUUGUGGAAUGGGCAUAAGGAUUUCAAUUGUUGUUGACUCUUAAGACCUUGUACAUGCUUCAUGGAUGACAUUACUAAUCACAUCUCUAUUUCCUUUUUCAUGUGUUCAUGAUGAUAUGUGUGGUAUGGAGAGUUAUAAUUUGAAGAUGAACCGUAGCCUUUUAUUGAAGCUUGGAGCAUUGAAGGAUUCAAAAAGACAUGAACUCAAUUUCAUCUGUAAUAUUGCGCAAAUCUGUAUUGUCUUGUAAAUUUGACUCUUGAAGAAAUAAGGUUCCAAUGAUUCACUUUGAA